rfam:Triticum aestivum genome assembly, contig: Triticum_aestivum_CS42_TGACv1_scaffold_556476_7AL
AUACCUUUCUUGGCCUUUCGGCCAAGAUCAAGUAUAGUAUCUGUUUUUAUCAGUUUAAUAUCUGAUAUGUGAAUCUUUGGAUCCAUCCUAUGAUAUUAAUUUAAUUUUUUGUGGCGGAGGGCCCACCAUAGCAGCUAGCUGCUGGGGCCCUCAAGCGUCGCCAUGGUCUUGCACUAUAGCCUUGGACUGAAGCACCCCAA